GCAUUACCAUCGCCAAUGAGUUCCUGGCAGUUAUUGCAGCCAUGGUUGAGGAGGCGACACUGGCGACGGUCAGGGACAGCCCCUUUUUUGGGGCUCAUGUGUGAUGAGACGGUGGACAUAUCCACCACCAAUGAACUUGUUCUCUACUGCAGGUGCAUAGAUGGUGACGGCAACCUGCAGGUGAAAUUCCUGCAGGUCAUGCCACUUAAGGAUGGCAAAGCUGUCACCAUCAAGGAUGCCAUCACAGGGUACUUGGGAGAGAAGAACCUGUCCCUGCUGAAGGUGGCAGGGUUUGGCUCGGAUGGAGCUGCCUGUAUGAUAGGACGAAAAGGCGGUGUGGCCACGCUACUGAAACAGGACAAUGAAAAGAUUGUCAACAUUCACUGUGUGGCCCAUCGCCUUGCCCUAGCUGUUGGCCAAGCUGGAAGUCAGGUGAAGUACAUCGGAGAGACCUUCAAGCCCAACCUGUACACGCUAUACCUGUACUACGAAGUGAAGGCCUGAGAGAGAUUCAGGAGGUGCUUGAUGAGAUUCAGCUGAAGUUAAAG
ensembl:lncRNA